rnacentral:lncRNA from 1 species
UUGCAAUUGCUUUCCUAAUUUGUGUUGGCGAUAUCAGUUAUGCAAGGAGAUAUACGAGAAAACUCUGGCUAUCACUCAACUUAUUGAGACUUCGAAAUUCGAUCGAGUUGCCUUUCCUUGGCUUGAAUUCUUACCACCUAUGCAUGCGGUUGCUUCAAAAUCUUCAACUUUUGCUUUGAAUGAGAUCAUGGAAGCAUUGGA